GGCGGCGAUGGCCGGCACCGGGGUGGCCGCCGGUCUCGGCGGCGUGCUGGGCGGUUCGGCCCUGGACGUGGCCG
rnacentral:tRNA from 1 species